rnacentral:sRNA from 1 species
GAAUUCUUAAUUGUUGCUAUUUUUGUCUUUUCUGCUCUUCUUUAGGUAUUCUAAUCUGAUUUUGAACUUGUUUUCCUUGAUGGUUGAUGCAAACAUUCCAGAUAUUGCACUUGAACCAGAUAAAACUGUGAAAAAGGUUCAGGAUAAAUUCCGUUUAGACCUGUCAGAUGAAGAGGCUGUGCAUUACAUGCAGAGUCUGAUUGAUGAGAGUGUCCAUGCUCUUUUUGCUGCAGUGGUGGAACAGAUUCACAAGUUUGCCCAGUACUGGAGAAAAUGAAACUGGAAUUGACCCAUCAAGAUGCUUGGCUCAAUAAGAAAACCACGUUAGGAACAACGUGUGUACAUUGGAGACUUCAGAGUAACCAGCAAGGAAGAGAAAACUUAAUCUUCAAGUUACCAUAUUUUCCAAAUAUUACAUGGUACCUGAGUUCUGCUUCCUUGGAUGUCAUUGCUUAAAUAUAGUCUUGAAGGGUUUGUUUCGAAAUAUUGUAUAUAUUUUUUCAAAUGUGUACAUUGUUAAUAAAUUAAGAAAUGAG